rnacentral:tRNA from 1 species
UGAGGUGUAACUCAAUGGUAGAGUACAUACCUAAUAUGCAUGAGGCCCUGGGUUCCAUCUCCCACACCAAAA